AGCGAACGCUGGCGGCAGGCUUAACACAUGCAAGUCGAGCGCCCCGCAAGGGGAGCGGCAGACGGGAGAGUAACACGUGGGAACAUACCUUUUGGUUCGGAACAACUGAGGGAAACUUCAGCUAAUACCGGAUAAGCCCUUACGGGGAAAGAUUUAUCGCCGAAAGAUUGGCCCGCAUCUGAUUAGCUAGUUGGUGAGGUAACGGCUCACCAAGGCGACGAUCAGUAGCUGGUCUGAGAGGAUGAUCAGCCUCACUGGGACUGAGACACGGCCCAGACUCCUACGGGAGGCAGCAGUGGGGAAUAUUGGACAAUGGGGGCAACCCUGAUCCAGCCAUGCCGCGUGAGUGAUGAAGGCCUUAGGGUUGUAAAGCUCUUUUGCCCGGGAAGAUAAUGACGGUACCGGGAAAAUAAGCCCCGGCUAACUUCGUG
rnacentral:rRNA from 1 species